rnacentral:rRNA from 1 species
UACGAAGGGUGCAAGCGUUACUCGGAAUUACUGGGCGUAAAGCGUGCGUAGGUGGUUUGUUAAGUCUGCUGUGAGAGCCCCGGGCUCAACCUGGGAAUGGCAGUGGAUACUGGCAAGCUAGAGUGCGGUAGAGGGGUGUGGAAUUCCCGGUGUAGCGGUGAAAUGCGUAGAGAUCGGGAGGAACACCAGUGGCGAAGGCGGCACCCUGGACCAGCACUGACACUGAGGCACGAAAGCGUGGGGAGCAAACAGG